rnacentral:lncRNA from 1 species
CCCAGUUUGCAGGGAUUCCAGGACUGGUACUGGGAGGGCGCUGGGCUCUUUUUUGGAGGCUCAUACCAGUUUAGGGAAGAUGCCAUUGCAGAUACUGGGAUGGUGCAGGAUUCCAGGACUUGUACUGGGAGGGUGCUGGGCUCAUCCCAGUUUGUAGGGAUUCCAGUUCUUGUACUGGGAAGGCACUGGGCUCAUCCCAGUUUGUAGGGAUGCCACUGCUUGUACUGGGAUGGGACUGGGCUCUUUUUUGGGGGCUCAUACCAUUUUCCAGUUCUUGUACUGGGAGGGCACUGGGCUCAUCCCAGUUAGUAGGGAUUCCAGUUCUUGUACUGGGAAGGCACUGGGCUCAUCCCAGUUUGUAGGGAUGCCACUGCUUGCACUGGGAUGGGACUGGGCUCUUUUUGGGGGGGCUCCUCCCACUUGAGGAGGCAUUUUGGGGUGACAACCCCCCCCGUGACCCCCCCCAGGCUCAGGUGUCAGCCCUGGAGCACCCAUCUCCCCCCAGCCCGGGGGGGUCAGCGGAGCUGCGGCGGGAGCUGGACCGGCUGCGCAUCGCCCAGCACCACCCCCACCCCCUGGAGGAGCAGAUCGCGCUGCUGAAGGGACAGGAGCUCCACCGUCACCCCACCAGCAUCUAGAGCAACCCCCCCCCUGCAGAGACUGGUACAAACUCAUCUCAGGGGUGAGGGGGGGCCGUCCCCACCCCGGUGCUCACAAACCACACGGAUUUUGCUCUCAUCAUUCCCUUUCUCAAGGAAAAAGCCGCACUUUACCGACCAGGAGAUGACACUCGGGUAUUUUUGAUACAGGUUGGGGCCCGAUGGGUGUUUUUUCCCCUUUUUUCUAUCGCAAUUUUUAAAAAAAAUUUGGAAAUAUCCUUUUUAUUUAGCCCCUGUCUCGGCACCAUCCAAACCACCCCAUUUGUUCCCCCCCCCCAAGCCCUCGUGAGCCCCGACCCUCGGCAGGUCCUCGCUUUUUCUCCUUUUUCUAACAAAAAAAACCCCCAACCUACUCUACUUUGGUGGGUUUGGGAUUAUUUUUUAUUAACAAAUAUCGCUAUUUUUGGAGUUUGAGGGGUUUUUUUACUGGUGCUACGGGGCAGCCUGAGGUCGGGUGGGGGGUCUGAGCCCGAAAACACGGGGGGGGUCGAGGUGGGGGCUUGGAGCGCGGCACAAUCCGGGCACUAUUAAAUGUGGAUAAACCCAAACUGGCAGCUCUUGGGAGUCUUUUUUCGGGGUGGGUGGGUGUGUGUGUGAUAAUUUGGGGAUGCCUUUGGGACACCAGGAUUGAUCCAAGUCCCUAAAUAAUAAUAAAAAAUAAUAAUAA